GACGAACGCUGGCGGCGUGCUUAACACAUGCAAGUCGAGCGGAAAGGCCUCUUCGGGGGUACUCGAGCGGCGAACGGGUGAGUAACACGUGAGUAAUCUGCCUCUGGCUUCGGGAUAGCCACCGGAAACGGUGAUUAAUACCGGAUACGACACAUCACUGCAUGGUGCGUGUGUGGAAAGUUUUUUCGGCCAGGGAUGUGCUCGCGGCCUAUCAGCUUGUUGGUGGGGUAAUGGCCUACCAAGGCUUCGACGGGUAGCCGGCCUGAGAGGGUGACCGGCCACACUGGGACUGAGACACGGCCCAGACUCCUACGGGAGGCAGCAGUGGGGAAUAUUGGACAAUGGGCGGAAGCCUGAUCCAGCAACGCCGCGUGAGGGAUGACGGCCUUCGGGUUGUAAACCUCUUUCAGCACAGACGAAGCGCAAGUGACGGUAUGUGCAGAAGGAGGACCGGCCAACUACGUGCCAGCCGCCGCGGUAACAC
rnacentral:rRNA from 1 species